GGUUUCGUGGUCUAGCGGUAUGAUUCUCGCUUAGGGUAACUCCCUGAGUCAAUUUGCGAGAGGUCCCGGGUUCAAUCCCCGGCGAAACCC